UACGGAGGGUGCGAGCGUUGUCCGGAAUCAUUGGGCGUAAAGCGCGCGUAGGUGGCCAUUUAAGUCCGCUGUGAAAGUCAAAGGCUCAACCUUUGAACGCCGAUGGAUACUGCCGGGCUAGAGUCCGGAAGAGGCGAGUGGAAUUCCUGGUGUAGCGGUGGAAUGCGCAGAUAUCAGGAGGAACACCAAUAGCGAAGGCAGCUCGCUGGGACGGUACUGACGCUGAGGCGCGAAAGCGUGGGGAGCGAACAGG
rnacentral:rRNA from 1 species